CCUACGGGUGGCUGCAGUGGGGGAUAUUGCACAAUGGAGGGAACUCUGAUGCAGCGACGCCGCGUGAGGGAAGAAGGUUUUCGGAUUGUAAACCUCUGUCUUCGGUGACGAAACGAGACGGUAGCCGAGGAGGAAGCCACGGCUAACUACGUGCCAGCAGCCGCGGUAAUACGUAGGUGGCAAGCGUUGUCCGGAUUUACUGGGUGUAAAGGGCGUGCAGCCGGGAAGACAAGUCAGAUGUGAAAUCCCGCGGCUCAACCGCGGAACUGCAUUUGAAACUGUUUUUCUUGAGUACCGGAGAGGUCAUCGGAAUUCCUUGUGUAGCGGUGAAAUGCGUAGAUAUAAGGAAGAACACCAGUGGCGAAGGCGGAUGACUGGACGGCAACUGACGGUGAGGCGCGAAAGCGUGGGGAGCAAACAGGAUUAGAUACCCGUGUAGUC
rnacentral:rRNA from 1 species